rnacentral:rRNA from 1 species
UGCAGUCGUACGAGAGCUUUUAGCUCAAGUGGCGGACGGGUGAGUAACACGUAAGAAUUUGCCUUUAGGAGGGGGACAACAACUGGAAACGGUUGCUAAUACCCCAUAUGCUUUCGAGUGAAAUGGAUUUUUCCGCCUAAAGAGAAGCUUGCGGCUGAUUAGCUUGUUGGUGAGGUAAUGGCUCACCAAGGCGACGAUCAGUAUCUGGUUUGAGAGGACGAUCAGACACACUGGAACUGAGACACGGUCCAGACUCCUACGGGAGGCAGCAGUGAGGAAUAUUGGUCAAUGGUCGAAAGACUGAACCAGCCAUGCCGCGUGCAGGAUGAAUGUUCUAUGAAUUGUAAACUGCUUUUCUAUAGGAAGAAACCUAUUCUCGUGAGAAUAGCUGACGGUACUAUAGGAAUAAGCACCGGCUAACUCCGUGCCAGCAGCCGCGGUAAUACGGAGGGUGCAAGCGUUAUCCGGAUUUAUUGGGUUUAAAGGGUACGUAGGCGGAAAAUUAAGUCAGUGGUGAAAUCCUGCGGCUCAACCGUAGAACUGCCAUUGAUACUGAUUUUCUUGAAUAUAGUUGAGGUAGGCGGAAUGUGUAAUGUAGCGGUGAAAUGCUUAGAUAUUACACAGAACACCGAUUGCGAAGGCAGCUUACUAAACUAUUAUUGACGCUGAUGUACGAAAGCGUGGGGAGCGAACAGGAUUAGAUACCCUGGUAGUCCCCU